rnacentral:rRNA from 1 species
UACGAAGGGGGCUAGCGUUGCUCGGAAUCACUGGGCGUAAAGCGCACGUAGGCGGAUUGUUAAGUCAGGGGUGAAAUCCUGGAGCUCAACUCCAGAACUGCCUUUGAUACUGAGGAUCUUGAGUUCGGGAGAGGUGAGUGGAACUGCGAGUGUAGAGGCGAAAUUCGUAGAUAUUCGCAAGAACACCAGUGGCGAAGGCGGCUCACUGGCCCGAUACUGACGCUGAGGCACGAAAGCGUGGGGAGCAAACAGG